rnacentral:rRNA from 1 species
CCUACGGGAGGCAGCAGUGGGGAAUAUUGGGCAAUGGGCGCAAGCCUGAUCCAGCAACGCCGCGUGAAUGAAGCAGGCUUUCGGCUUGUAAACUUCUUUUCUCAGGGACGAAGAAAGUGACGGUACCUGAGGAAUAAGCCACGGCUAACUACGUGCCAGCAGCCGCGGUACUACGUAGGUGGCAAGCGUUAUCCGGCUUUAGUGGGUGUAAAGGGCGUGUAGGCGGUAGCGCAAGUCAGAUGUGAAAACUCAGGGCUCAACCCUGAGCCUGCAUUUGAAACUGCGUUUCGUGAGUGCUGGAGGGGCAAUCGGAAGUCCGUGUGUAGCGGUGAAAGGCGUAGAUAUACGGAGGAACACCAGUGGCGAAGGCGGAUUGCUGGACAGUAACUGACGCUGAGGCGCGAAAGCGUGGGGAGCAAACAGGAUUAGAUACCCUGGUAGUC